ensembl:lncRNA LINC02682 long intergenic non-protein coding RNA 2682
GGCAGUUGCCGGACGCCAUGUUGGUGAAGCGCCGGGGCUGCUAAUGCUCCCUCCCCUCUUCCUCUUUGGCUCUCUCUCUCUCUUUUUCCAGACACCUUAAGGAAUUCAACAACCCCUCCCCUGCACACAGGCUUCUUCCAGAUGCCAUGUUGCAAGAUUUCCUCUGGAGAGGGCCUCUUGGCAAGGAACUGAUGUCUCUGGCCAGCAGCCAGCGAGGACCUAAGAUCUGUCAACAGCCAUGUCUGCAGGCUUUUGAGUAGCUGCUAUGUUCCUGGUUAGGGGUUGAGUUCAGGCUUAUGGCUGGUCUAGCAGAGCCAGGUGCCAGGCCUGGCGGGAGCAUCCUUGUCUCUUAACUGACAGUGCCUCCACCUGGCCUUGCAGCUCCACUCGACAAAUACUAAAUAACAGGCUCUGGCAUCUCCUGAAGCUCUGCACUCAUUAACACACUGGGAGGAAGGUAGAAGUUCCAUGGCUUUGGGCCCAGAUGAGAGAAGACCCUGAGUUGAGUGGAAGCAGCAGUGCCCCUCCUUGGCCCCUGCCUGGAGAUGGAGGCCACUAGGACCUGGAGAAGGAGGCAGAAGGGACAAUGAAUUGUGACUCGGAAAUUAAUCAGAUGAGACCUGAUGACUGAAGUACAUCACAGAGCUAGGAAGAGAGAUUACUAAGCAACACGCCCUUUUUUUCAGACAUCUCAGUUGACAACCUGAGCAAUAGCUCUGACCUGGAAGCAUCCAGCUUUGUAGCCAAAGAGAAAAAGCGCAGACCUUUGUCCCAGAAUUCUCAUCAAAAGUGUCUUUCAUCUCAUUGGCCCUGUGUGAGUCAUGUGCCCACCCCUAAACCAAUCACCAUGGCCUCAGGAAUGCAUUGUGUUGAGUAGUUUAGGCUGGGGUCAGUUUUAUCCCCAUCCAAACAACAGAGCUGAAAUCCGAGGAGAAAUGAUUUCCCAAAGAAAA